rnacentral:rRNA from 1 species
AUUGAACGCUAGCGGGAUGCUUUACACAUGCAAGUCGAACGGCAGCGCGGACUUCGGUCUGGCGGCGAGUGGCGAACGGGUGAGUAAUGUAUCGGAACGUGCCCAGUAGCGGGGGAUAACUACGCGAAAGCGUAGCUAAUACCGCAUACGCCCUACGGGGGAAAGUAGGGGAUCGUAAGACCUUGCACUAUUGGAGCGGCCGAUAUCGGAUUAGCUAGUUGGUGAGGUAACGGCUCACCAAGGCGACGAUCCGUAGCUGGUUUGAGAGGACGACCAGCCACACUGGGACUGAGACACGGCCCAGACUCCUACGGGAGGCAGCAGUGGGGAAUUUUGGACAAUGGGGGCAACCCUGAUCCAGCCACCCCGCGUGUGCGAUGAAGGCCUUCGGGUUGUAAAGCACUUUUGGCAGGAAAGAAACGUCGCGGGCUAAUACCCCGUGGAACUGACGGUACCUGCAGAAUAAGCACCGGCUAACUACGUG